GACGAACGCUGGCGGCGUGCUUAACACAUGCAGGUCGAACGGAAAGGCCCUGCUUUUGUGGGGUGCUCGAGUGGCGAACGGGUGAGUAACACGUGAGUAACCUGCCCUUGACUUUGGGAUAACUUCAGGAAACUGGGGCUAAUACCGGAUAGGAGCUCCUGCUGCAUGGUGGGGGUUGGAAAGUUUCGGCGGUUGGGGAUGGACUCGCGGCUUAUCAGCUUGUUGGUGGGGUAGUGGCUUACCAAGGCUUUGACGGGUAGCCGGCCUGAGAGGGUGACCGGCCACAUUGGGACUGAGAUACGGCCCAGACUCCUACGGGAGGCAGCAGUGGGGAAUAUUGCACAAUGGGCGGAAGCCUGAUGCAGCAACGCCGCGUGCGGGAUGACGGCCUUCGGGUUGUAAACCGCUUUCGCCGGUGACGAAGCGUGAGUGACGGUAAUGGGUAAAGAAGCACCGGCUAACUACGUG
rnacentral:rRNA from 1 species